rnacentral:rRNA from 1 species
UACGGGGGGGGCAAGCGUUGUUCGGAAUUACUGGGCGUAAAGGGCUCGUAGGCGGCCAACUAAGUCAGACGUGAAAUCCCUCGGCUUAACCGGGGAACUGCGUCUGAUACUGGAUGGCUAGAGGUUGGGAGAGGGAUGCGGAAUUCCAGGUGUAGCGGUGAAAUGCGUAGAUAUCUGGAGGAACACCGGUGGCGAAGGCGGCAUCCUGGACCAAUUCUGACGCUGAGGAGCGAAAGCCAGGGGAGCAAACGGG